rnacentral:lncRNA from 10 species
AGGUGACUGGUUGCCACUGGUAUCCAUUUUUCCUCCCUCAGUAACUGCACCCUCAUGUUUGUGGGUCAGUGAAGCACCCACCUUAGAGGUGUCACCAUUGAGAAUUUAGGGAAGAAGACCUUGGACACAGGGUCCUCAGUUGCUGCCAAGCUCAGUGCCAGCCACAUGGCCCUGAAGCAGCAGAGCUCUGAGACCUGCAGGUCCACCCACCCAGAGCACUGGAGCAUGGUGAUAUAACGGGUGAACGCAUGGCCAGUGAUGUAUGGGUUUGCCAGGGCUGCCAUAACAAAGUACUAUAGAUGGGGGCCUUCAACAACAGGGGUUUAUUUUCUUACAGUUCUGGAGGCUGGAAUUCCAAGAUCAAGGUGUCCACUGUUGGUUUCCUCUGAGGCCCCUCUCCUGGGUUUGCAGUCAGCCGUCCCCUUUCUGCCUUCUUGAGUGGUCUUCCUUCUGUGUGUGGGGUCCCUGCUGUCUCUCUGGGUCCGAAUUUCCUCUCUUUAUAUGGACACCAGUCAGAUUAGAUUAGGACUCCCAAUGAAUGGCCUCUUUUCACCUUAGUCACCUCUGUAAAGGCCAAAUCUCCAAAUGCAGUCCCCUGCAGAGGUGCCUGGGGCUGGGGCUUCAGUGCAUGAGUGUUGGGGGACUGACUUCAGCCAUAACAAAUGGCAUUAGAGCCUCUCUCCCUCUGACCUCCUGACACUGUGCAAGAGCCUGAGACCUUACCAGAUCCACGGAAUAGGCAGAAAAGCCCUAAGCAUAACUGAGAUGUGAGUAGAGGUGGCAUGCAUCAGUCACUUCCAGGUGGGAGAAUUUAAUGGCCAGUACAUUGCUCCAGCCAGCCACGGUGAUGGCAGAAGCAUGUGGUAAAGAUAGAGCCUCUGCCAGCCUGGGUCCCUGAGGGGGCUCAGUGGGAAGAAUCCCCCUGCUGAGCAUGCACUGAACAUGUGACCAGAAAAAGAAGUGAACCCUACCCUUUAAGCCUCCAAGACUGGAGGCUGUUUGUUACUGCAGCACAUCCUGGCAUGUCUCAACCUCUCCAAGGGUUAGCUGAGGUGGACACCUGCUACAGUAGCUGUGAUUAAUUUGAUUUCCAAGUAGAGAGAGCAAGGCCUGGGCUAGGGACAAGUAACAGCUCCUGGGCUCAAAGGGUCACCCCCUCAGCCCCUGUGUCACAUGGGCUCAUUUUCAGACUCCAUGGAUCAUUCUGUUAGUUUCUCCUCCCCUUCAUAGCUUCCUUAGGGAUGCCUGUGCCAGGGUCAUAACCUGAAUGCCCUAGUCUUUCCACCUCCCUUCAGCUUCCAGUGGCCUCAUCUCUGUGCUUUCGGGUGACUGUGGAGGGGUGAAGGCAUCUGGGGAGGAGCUAGUGUGCUGUGAUGGCACAGGCCAUGUACUAAGUGUGUGCUGGGCACCCAGCGCCGAGCUGCCUU